rnacentral:rRNA from 1 species
UCAAGCUAUAAAGAGCACAAGGUGAAUGCCUUGGCACCAGGAGCCGAAGAAGGACGUGAUAAGCUGCGAUAAGCUGCGGGGAGGCGCAAAUAGCCGAUAUAUCCGCAGAUUUCCGAAUGGGGCAACCCCAUACGGCAAACCCGUAUGACCGUUAACUGAAUCCAUAGGUUAACGGGGGGAACCCGCCGAACUGAAACAUCUAAGUAGGCGGAGGAAAAGAAAUCAACCGAGAUUUCGUGAGUAGUGGCGAGCGAAAGCGAAAGAGGCCAAACCUUCGGUAGCAAUACCGGAGGGGUUUAGGACUGCGGGAAGCGAGGAAGGACAUAGGAGAAAGAGAUGGGAAGCUCUACCGGAGAAAGUGAAAGUCUUGUAUCCGAAAUGUCCGACCGAGCGAGCAGGAUCCAGAGUACGUGCGGACACGAGGAAUCCGCACGGAAGACGGGGGGACCACCCUCCAAGCCUAAAUACUACCUGGUGACCGAUAGCGCAGAAGUACUGUGAAGGAAAGGUGAAAAGAACCCCGGGAGGGGAGUGAAAUAGAACCUGAAACCUUGUGUUUACAAGCACACAAAGAGCGUUAACGCUCGAUGUGGUACUUUUUGUAGAACGGUCCGGCGAGUUUAUGUAUGCAGCGAGGUUAAGCACCUCAGGUGCGGAGCCGUAGGGAAACCGAGUGUUAAGAGCGCGAGAGUUGCAUGCAUAAGACCCGAAACCGGGUGACCUACCCAUGUCCAGGAUGAAGUAGCGGUAAAACGCUAUGGAGGUCCGAAUCGACCCCUGUUGAAAAAGUGGCGAAUGAGGUGUGGGUAGCGGAGAAAUUCCAAUCGAACCCGGAGAUAGCUGGUUCUCCCCGAAAUAGCUUUAGGGCUAGCCUCGGGAGUAAGAUUAUUGCAGGUAAAGCACUGACUGGAGGCGGGGGCGAAAGUCUACCAAAUCCUAUCAAACUAAGAAUGGCAAAUAAUCGUGCCCGGGAGUCAGACAAUGUGAGAUAAGUUUCAUUGUCAAGAGGGAAACAGCCCAGACCUUCAGCUAAGGUCCCCAAUAUAUGCUAAGUGGAAAAGGAUGUGGCGACGCACAAACAACCAGGAUGUUGGCUUAGAAGCAGCCAUUCAUUUAAAGAGUGCGUAAUAGCUCACUGGUCGAGUGACGCUGCGCCGAAAAUUCAACGGGGCUAAGCAUAUAACCGAAGCUAAGGCAGUGAAUAACUGGGUAGGGGAGCGUUCUGUAAGGGGCGAAGCCGUAGCGAAAGCAGCGGUGGACUUUACAGAAGUGAGAAUGCCGGAAUGAGUAGCGAGAAUUGCGUGAGAAUCGUAAUGGCCGAAAAUCUAAGGUUUCUUGGGGCAGGUUCGUCCGCCCAAGGUAAGCCGGAAGCUAAGGCGAGGCCGGAAGGCGUAGUCGAUGCACAUACGGUGGAAAUUCCGUAGCCAUCAAAAGAUUUAAGCAAUCUGACACCGAAGAAGAUGUCCUACCGGGCGAUGGUUGCCCCGGGCGUAAGACACCGAAAAUAGAGUAGGGAAUUGGAUGUCUAUUCGGGCGAGAAAAGGGUUGUGUAUAUCUGAGAUGUCCGUACCGCAAACCGACACAGGUAGAUGGGAAGAGAAUUCUAAGGCCAACGGGAGAAGGGUUGUUAAGGAACUCGGCAAAUUAACCCCGUAACUUCGGGAGAAGGGGAGCCUCGAAAGAGGCCGCAGUGAAAAGGCCCAGGCAACUGUUUACCAAAAACACAGGUCUCUGCUAAACCGAAAGGUGAAGUAUAGGGGCUGACGCCUGCCCGGUGCCGGAAGGUCAAGGGGAAGUGUUAGGAGCAAUCCGAAGCACAGAACUUAAGCCCCGGUAAACGGCGGCCGUAACUAUAACGGUCCUAAGGUAGCGAAAUUCCUUGUCAGGUAAGUUCUGACCUGCACGAAUGGCGUAACGACUUGGGCACUGUCUCAACAACCCGCCCGGCGAAAUUGUAGUACCGGUGAAGAUGCCGGUUACCCGCGACUAGACGGAAAGACCCCAUGGAGCUUUAC